rnacentral:rRNA from 1 species
UACGUAGGGUGCAAGCGUUGUCCGGAAUUAUUGGGCGUAAAGAGCUCGUAGGCGGUCUGUCGCGUCUGCUGUGAAAACUCAGGGCUUAACCCUGAGCUUGCAGUGGGUACGGGCAGACUAGAGUGCGGUAGGGGAGACUGGAAUUCCUGGUGUAGCGGUGAAAUGCGCAGAUAUCAGGAGGAACACCCGUGGCGAAGGCGGCUCUCUGGGACGUGACUGACGCUGAGACGCGAAAGCGUGGGGAGCAAACAGG